UUAAGCGACUAAGCGUACACGGUGGAUGCCCUGGCAGUCAGAGGCGAUGAAGGGCGUGCUAAUCUGCGAUAAGCGCCGGUAAGGUGAUAUGAACCGUUAUAACCGGCGAUACCCGAAUGGGGAAACCCAGUGUGACUCGUCACACUAUCAUUAACUGAAUCCAUAGGUUAAUGAGGCGAACCGGGGGAACUGAAACAUCUAAGUACCCCGAGGAAAAGAAAUCAACCGAGAUUCCCCCAGUAGCGGCGAGCGAACGGGGAGGAGCCCAGAGCCUGAAUCAGCAUGUGUGUUAGUGGAAGCGUCUGGAAAGGCGCGCGAUACAGGGUGACAGCCCCGUACACAAAAGCGCAUGUGCUGUGAGCUCGAUGAGUAGGGCGGGACACGUGGUAUCCUGUCUGAAUAUGGGGGGACCAUCCUCCAAGGCUAAAUACUCCUGACUGACCGAUAGUGAACCAGUACCGUGAGGGAAAGGCGAAAAGAACCCCGGCGAGGGGAGUGAAAAAGAACCUGAAACCGUGUACGUACAAGCAGUGGGAGCACAGGUUUACCUGUGUGACUGCGUACCUUUUGUAUAAUGGGUCAGCGACUUAUAUUCUGUAGCAAGGUUAACCGUAUAGGGGAGCCGUAGGGAAACCGAGUCUUAACCGGGCGUUAAGUUGCAGGGUAUAGACCCGAAACCCGGUGAUCUAGCCAUGGGCAGGUUGAAGGUUGGGUAACACUAACUGGAGGACCGAACCGACUAAUGUUGAAAAAUUAGCGGAUGACCUGUGGCUGGGGGUGAAAGGCCAAUCAAACCGGGAGAUAGCUGGUUCUCCCCGAAAGCUAUUUAGGUAGCGCCUCGUGAAUUCAUCUCCGGGGGUAGAGCACUGUUUCGGCUAGGGGGCCAUCCCGGCUUACCAACCCGAUGCAAACUGCGAAUACCGGAGAAUGUUAUCACGGGAGACACACGGCGGGUGCUAACGUCCGUCGUGAAGAGGGAAACAACCCAGACCGCCAGCUAAGGUCCCAAAGUCAUGGUUAAGUGGGAAACGAUGUGGGAAGGCCCAGACAGCCAGGAUGUUGGCUUAGAAGCAGCCAUCAUUUAAAGAAAGCGUAAUAGCUCACUGGUCGAGUCGGCCUGCGCGGAAGAUGUAACGGGGCUAAACCAUGCACCGAAGCUGCGGCAGCGACGCUGAUGCGUUGUUGGGUAGGGGAGCGUUCUGUAAGCCUGUGAAGGUGGCCUGUGAGGGUUGCUGGAGGUAUCAGAAGUGCGAAUGCUGACAUAAGUAACGAUAAAGCGGGUGAAAAGCCCGCUCGCCGGAAGACCAAGGGUUCCUGUCCAACGUUAAUCGGGGCAGGGUGAGUCGACCCCUAAGGCGAGGCCGAAAGGCGUAGUCGAUGGGAAACGGGUUAAUAUUCCCGUACUUGGUGUUACUGCGAAGGGGGGACGGAGAAGGCUAUGUUGGCCGGGCGACGGUUGUCCCGGUUUAAGCGUGUAGGUGUGUGUUCCAGGUAAAUCCGGUUCACUUUAACACUGAGGCGUGAUGACGAGGCACUACGGUGCUGAAGCAACAAAUGCCCUGCUUCCAGGAAAAGCCUCUAAGCAUCAGGUAACAUCAAAUCGUACCCCAAACCGACACAGGUGGUCAGGUAGAGAAUACCAAGGCGCUUGAGAGAACUCGGGUGAAGGAACUAGGCAAAAUGGUGCCGUAACUUCGGGAGAAGGCACGCUGACACGUAGGUGAAGUGAUUUACUCAUGGAGCUGAAGUCAGUCGAAGAUACCAGCUGGCUGCAACUGUUUAUUAAAAACACAGCACUGUGCAAACACGAAAGUGGACGUAUACGGUGUGACGCCUGCCCGGUGCCGGAAGGUUAAUUGAUGGGGUCAGCGCAAGCGAAGCUCCUGAUCGAAGCCCCGGUAAACGGCGGCCGUAACUAUAACGGUCCUAAGGUAGCGAAAUUCCUUGUCGGGUAAGUUCCGACCUGCACGAAUGGCGUAAUGAUGGCCAGGCUGUCUCCACCCGAGACUCAGUGAAAUUGAACUCGCUGUGAAGAUGCAGUGUACCCGCGGCAAGACGGAAAGACCCCGUGAACCUUUACUAUAGCUUGACACUGAACAUUGAGCCUUGAUGUGUAGGAUAGGUGGGAGGCUUUGAAGCGUGGACGCCAGUCUGCAUGGAGCCGGCCUUGAAAUACCACCCUUUAAUGUUUGAUGUUCUAACGUGGACCCGUGAUCCGGGUUGCGGACAGUGUCUGGUGGGUAGUUUGACUGGGGCGGUCUCCUCCUAAAGAGUAACGGAGGAGCACGAAGGUUGGCUAAUCCUGGUCGGACAUCAGGAGGUUAGUGCAAUGGCAUAAGCCAGCUUGACUGCGAGCGUGACGGCGCGAGCAGGUGCGAAAGCAGGUCAUAGUGAUCCGGUGGUUCUGAAUGGAAGGGCCAUCGCUCAACGGAUAAAAGGUACUCCGGGGAUAACAGGCUGAUACCGCCCAAGAGUUCAUAUCGACGGCGGUGUUUGGCACCUCGAUGUCGGCUCAUCACAUCCUGGGGCUGAAGUAGGUCCCAAGGGUAUGGCUGUUCGCCAUUUAAAGUGGUACGCGAGCUGGGUUUAGAACGUCGUGAGACAGUUCGGUCCCUAUCUGCCGUGGGCGCUGGAGAACUGAGGGGGGCUGCUCCUAGUACGAGAGGACCGGAGUGGACGCAUCACUGGUGUUCGGGUUGUCAUGCCAAUGGCACUGCCCGGUAGCUAAAUGCGGAAGAGAUAAGUGCUGAAAGCAUCUAAGCACGAAACUUGCCCCGAGAUGAGUUCUCCCUGAGACUUAGAGUCUCCUGAAGGAACGUUGAAGACGACGACGUUGAUAGGCCGGGUGUGUAAGCGCAGCGAUGCGUUGAGCUAACCGGUACUAAUGAACCGUGAGGCUUAACCUU
rnacentral:rRNA from 3 species